rnacentral:rRNA from 1 species
UCAAAGAUUAAGCCCAUGCCAGGUUUUAAAGUUUUAAAACUGCUUUUUUACUUGGGGAAAACUGGGGAAAGGGCUCCAUUAAAAUUCAAGUUAUUAGGUUUAUUUGGAAGGGUACCCUCCUACCACGGGAUAAACCGUAGUUAAUUUCUAGAGACUAAUUACGUGCCGUAAAAUCCCCGACCUUCCUGGAAGGGGACGUAUUUUUUUAGAUAAAAAGGACCGACCCGGGCCUCUGCCCCGACCCCGCCGGUGAAAUCAUGAUAAACUUCACGAAUUCGCAUAGUCCUUGUGGCAGGGCGAUGUUUUCAUUUCUAAGUUUCUGUCCUAUCAACAUUCGAUGGUAGGGAUAGAGGCCUACCAUGGUGGUAUCGGGUGACGGAGGAUUAGGGUUCGAUUCCGGAGAGGGAGCAUGAGAAUCGGCUAUCCCAUGCAAGGAAGGCAGCAGGCGCGCAAACUAUCCAAUCCUGAUACGGGGAGGUAGUGACAAUAAAUAACAAUACCGGGCAUUCAAUGUCUGGUAAUAGGAAUGAGUACAAUAUAAAUCCCUGAACGAGGAUCCAUGGGAGGGCAAGUCUGGUGCCAGCAGCCGCGGUAAUUCCAGCUCCAAUAGUGUAUAUUUAAGUUCUUGCAGUUAAAAAGCUCGUAGUUGGAUUUCUGGGUGGGUUCCAGCGGUCCGCCUAUGGUGAGUACUGCUGUGGUCCUCCUUUCUGUCGGGGACGGGCUCCUGGGCUUCACUGCUCGGGACUCGGAUUCGGCGAUGAUACUCUGAGUAAAUUAGAGUGUUCAAAGCACGCGUACGCUCUGAAUACUUCAGCAUCGAAUAUCGCGAUAGGACUCUGGCCUAUCUCGUUGGUCUGUAGGACCGGAGUAAUGAUUAAGAGGGACAGUCGGGGGCAUUCGUAUUUCAUUGUCAGAGGUGAAAUUCUUGGAUUUAUGAAAGACGAACUACUGCGAAAGCAUUUGCCAAGGAUGUUUUCACUAAUCAAGAACGAAAGUUGGGGGCUCGAAGACGAUUAGAGACCGUCGUAGUCUCAACCAUAAACGAUGCCGACUAGGGAUUGGAGGAUGUUCUUUUGAUGACUUCUUCCAGCACCUUAUGAGAAAUCAAAGUCUUUGGUUCCGGGGGAGUUGCCCCC